UCAUUCGAUCAUGUCAUAAGAUUUCCCAAAAAUCAAUCUCAAUGAAGAGGGUGUUGAAAUCAAGGAAACAUUUGAGGGAAUUCCAUAAAUUUUUCCCCUUCAAGCAAUGUCACAGACAACCUUCCAUCCAAAGUCAACAAAAUUGAAACCCAUUUUUGGGAUUUGUUGGUGCCUCAUCCUAUAACUAAAGGAAAUGUUAGGAAAUCAGGAGAUGUCAUCAGGGGCCCUGGGAAGACUUAUCUUUUCUUUUUAACAGCUUUCCACCUAUAAAUCGGAUCAACCGGAGAUAGGGUACAACAGCUAGAAGAGAAUCGCACGCUUUAUGGUGUCUGGUGUGCCCUCGACGACCCUUGAAAAUAUGGAGAACUGAGUACCAUCCAUGCUCGGUCGUACUCAUAACCGCAGCAGGUCUCCAAGGUGAACAACCUCUGGUCAAUAGAACAAUGUAGGUAAGGGAAUUCUGCAAAAUGGAUACGUAAAUUCAGGAAAAGGAUUGGCUUUGAGGGCUGGGCCUAGGGUUCUGCAUCCUCAACCUGUGGGAUUUCAGCAAUCUACUCGUGCGAUUGUCAUUAAUUAAUGCUACCUCCUUUUGAAUGGUAGUGAAACUAAUUAAUGUUACCUCCUUUUGAAUGGU
rnacentral:ncRNA from 1 species